rnacentral:tmRNA from 1 species
GCCCUUUCAAUCCGGCAUGAGAACAACUAUAUUGUCAUUGCCGGUUUUCGGACCGGCUAUGGCAAUAAAUGACGGUCGUAAUAAACCAUUCGGACCCGGGGGCAGUACCCGGCACCUCCACCAAAUGCCGUUUGUUGAGCGGAUCGGUGGCUCCCCUGAACACCAUUUGAUGGGGGUGAACUAGGAUCGACGAGGGCGUAAAGGGCAGGUUUUUGCUCGGCAUGGUUCCGCCGUUAUCGGGCCAAAACAGUAGUUGCAAACGACAACUAUGCGGAAGCACGUCUCGCUGCGUAAGCAGUGCGACCGCUUCAAAUUAAGUCCUAGCUGUUCGCACGGCUAGGCGGGGUUCGAGGGCACCUGGCAACAGAAGCCCUCACU